CAGGUCAUAAUCGAAGGGUUUAAGAGCUACAAGGAGGAGAUAUCAACAGAGCCCUUCAGUCCCAAAGUUAACGUAGUUGUUGGUGCAAAUGGAUCUGGCAAAUCAAAUUUCUUUCAUGGUAAUCUUAAACAUGUGGUACAGUACUGCUAUAUUAUUAUUAUUAUUAUUCGCAUAUGCUCUUAUGCGAGAAUAUUCUUUUGAUUUGUGUAUGCUUCAUACACCAGCUAUUCGAUUUGUCCUGAGUGACAUGUUUCAGAACCUGCGAACUGAGGAUAGGGGUGCCCUUCUCCAUGUAUGCCUCCUCUUUGUUCAAGCAGUCUAGGUAGUUGGAAUAGGUGGCUGGUCCGCUGGUGUUUGAUAUACCCUACUGUAAUAACCAUUGCAGGAAGGUGCUGGACACUCGGUUGUAUCUGCUUUUGUUGAGAUAGUGUUUGACAAUUUAGACAACCGUAUUCCAGUAAGUCCUCUAACCUAUUCAGAUUUUAGUUUACUUAUUUUAGUCUAUCAUCUAGAGUCUCGGGUUGCAUAUUUUGUUGAAAAAUAGCAACACCUAGAUCUCUUAUGGUAGGCACUCAUUUAAUUAUCAGCUCUGUGCUGUGCAUUACUGGUUCAUGUAUGGAAGUUGACGGCAUCACUCCAGUUCCAAAUGAGUGUUCUAUCUUUAGGUGGAGUUAAGUCUGUUAAUCUGUUUGUUGUUAUGAAUGGACUAAGUACAACAACAUGGAGCCGGAUGCUGUUGAUUUCUUUGGGGAAUGUAUGAAUAGUCCCCGAAAUGGUCGUACUCCGCUUGCAAAUGAGAUAUAUGAGCAAAUGGUUGCAGAGAAGGAAAGAGAGCUAGAAGAAGGAGAAGCA